rnacentral:tRNA from 1 species
GCCUGGGUGGCUUAUCGGUUAAGCACCCGACUUUGGCUCAGGUCAUAAUCUCGAGGUUUGUGAGUUUGAGCCCUGCCUCAGGCU